UACGUAGGUGGCAAGCGUUGUCCGGAUUUACUGGGCGUAAAGAGCGCGCAGGCGGUCGUUCAAGUCGCGUGUGAAAGCCCCCGGCUCAACUGGGGAGGGUCACGCGAUACUGAUCGACUCGAAGGCAGGAGAGGGAAGUGGAAUUCCCGGUGUAGUGGUGAAAUGCGUAGAUAUCGGGAGGAACACCAGUGGCGAAGGCGACUUCCUGGCCUGUUCUUGACGCUGAGGCGCGAAAAGCUAGGGGAGCAAACGGGG
rnacentral:rRNA from 1 species